rnacentral:rRNA from 1 species
GUGCUCCCCCGCCAAUUCCUUUAAGUUUCAGCCUUGCGGCCGUACUCCCCAAGCGGCCCGCUUAACACCUUCGCUCCGGCACUGCCGGCCCCCGAGAGACCGACAACACCAAGCGGGCAGCGUUUACAGCCAGGACUACCCGGGUAUCUAAUCCGGUUUGCUCCCCUGGCCUUCGUCCCUCACCGUCGGAGCCGUUCAAGCCGGACGCUUUCGCCACAGGUGGUCCCCCCGGGAUUACAGGAUUUUACCCCUACCCCGGGAGUACCUCCGACCUCUCCCGGUCCCAAGACCCGCAGUCUCCCCGGAAUUCCUGACGUUGAGCGCCAGGAUUUACCCAGGGAUUUACGGGUCCGGCUACGGACGCUUUAGGCUCAAUAAAAGCGGCCACCACUUGAGCUGCGGGUAUUACCGCGGCGGCUGGCACCUGUCUUGCCCAGCCCUUAUUCCUGGAGCUUUUUAGGCUCCAGAAAAGCCCUCCCCGAAGGAAGGGCACUCGGGCUCCCCUCGUCGCGCUUUCGCACAUUGCGAAGGUUUCGCGCCUGCUGCGCCCCGUAGGGCCUGGACUCGUGUCUCAGAGUCCAUCUCCGGGCUUCCCCUCUCAGGGCCCGUACCCGUCGUAGGCUUGGUGGUCCUUUACACCACCAACUACCUGAUAGGUCGCAGACCCAUCCUCGGGCGCCGGAGCUUUCGGCCUCAGAACCUUCCAAUAUCCGAGGUCUAUGGGGUAUUAGCCUCAGUUUCCCGAGGUUAUCCCCCACCCGAGGGUAGGUUGUCCACGUGUUACUGAGCAG